AUACGGAGGGCGCAAGCGUUGUCCGGAAUUACUGGGCGUAAAGGGGGCGCAGGCGGCUUGGUAAGUCCUAUGUGAAAGCCCGCAGCUCAACUGCGGAAAGCCAUAGGAUACUGCCGAGCUUGAGACGGGUAGAGGCGAGUGGAAUUCCCGGUGUAGCGGUGGAAUGCGUAGAUAUCGGGAAGAACACCAGUGGCGAAGGCGGCUCGCUGGGCCCGUUCUGACGCUCAGGCCCGAAAGCGUGGGGAGCAAACAGGAUUAGAAACCCCGGUAGUCC
rnacentral:rRNA from 1 species